CGAGAGGGGAAUAACCCGGCGAAAGUCGGACUAAUACCGCAGUAAAACAGGGGCACCGCAUAGGUGAUAUUUGUUAAAGAAAUUCGCUGAUAGAUGGGCAUGCGUUCCAUUAGGUAGUUGGUGAGGUAACGGCUCACCAAGCCGACGAUGGAUAGGGGAACUGAGAGGUUGGUCCCCCACACUGGUACUGAGACACGGACCAGACUCCUACGGGAGGCAGCAGUGAGGAAUAUUGGUCAAUGGGCGGGAGCCUGAACCAGCCAAGUCGCGUGAAGGAAAAGAAGGAUCUAUGGUUCGUAAACUUCUUUUGCAGGGGAAUAAAGUGCAGGACGUGUCCUGUUUUGUAUGUACCCUGAGAAUAAGGAUCGGCUAACUCCGUGCCAGCAGCAGC
rnacentral:rRNA from 1 species